UACGUAGGGGGCAAGCGUUGUCCGGAAUUAUUGGGCGUAAAGAGCUCGUAGGCGGUUUGUUGCGUCUAUCGUGAAAACCUGCAGCUUAACUGUGGGCUUGCGGUGGAUACGGGGCAGACUUGAGUUCGGUAGGGGAGACUGGAAUUCCUGGUGUAGCGGUGAAAUGCGCAGAUAUCAGGAGGAACACCGGUGGCGAAGGCGGGUCUCUGGGCCGAUACUGACGCUGAGGAGCGAAAGCGUGGGGAGCGAACAGG
rnacentral:rRNA from 1 species